rnacentral:rRNA from 1 species
UGGGGAAUUGUUCGCAAUGGGCGCAAGCCUGACGACGCAACGCCGCGUGGAGGAUGAAGAUUUUCGGAUCGUAAACUCCUGUCGAAUGGGACGAAUAGAUUGCGGGUUAACAGCCCGCGGUCCUGACGGUACCGUUAAAGGAAACCCCGGCUAACUCCGUGCCAGCAGCCGCGGUAAUACGAAGGGUGCAAACGUUGCUCGGAAUCAUUGGGCGUAAAGCGCACGUAGGCGGCGCUGUAAGUCGGACGUGAAAUCCCUCGGCUCAACCGAGGACGUGCAUCCGAAACUACAGUGCUCGAGUAUGGAAGAGGGUCGCGGAAUUCUCGGUGUAGAGGUGAAAUUCGUAGAUAUCGGGAGGAACACCAGUGGCGAAGGCGGCGACCUGGGCCAAUACUGACGCUGAGGUGCGAAAGCGUGGGGAGCAAA